rnacentral:misc_RNA from 1 species
AUCUGAAUAGCUGUAUCUUUUUGGAGCCAUGGAUUGUCUAAUCACUCUCUCAAUGUCCUGUCUGGUAACUUUCUCAAUCUUCUGAUGACUCUUAAUUCUCACUUUCCUAAAGAGGAUAGCCAUUUGAUUUGAAGCUGUCAUCCUUCUAAAGCCCCAAAAAGAAUAAAAAAUGAAAAAGAAAAGUAAUAAUAUCCCAGCCAAUGCAAUGCCAAUAAUAAUAAUGCCUAUCAAAGAUUUCUUUAGAUUUGAUUCAUGGCCUGCAACAAUAAGUUGCGACAGAUAAGCUUGAGGACUAGAAAAAUUGAGA